GAUGAACGCUGGCGGCGUGCUUAACACAUGCAAGUCGAACGAUGAAGCCCAGCUUGCUGGGUGGAUUAGUGGCGAAUGGGUGAGUAACACGUGAGUAACCUGCCCUUAACUCUGGGAUAAGCCUGGGAAACUGGGUCUAAUACCGGAUAGGAGCGUCCACCGCAUGGUGGGUGUUGGAAAGAUUUAUCGGUUUUGGAUGGACUCGCGGCCUAUCAGCUUGUUGGUGAGGUAAUGGCUCACCAAGGCGACGACGGGUAGCCGGCCUGAGAGGGUGACCGGCCACACUGGGACUGAGACACGGCCCAGACUCCUACGGGAGGCAGCAGUGGGGAAUAUUGCACAAUGGGCGCAAGCCUGAUGCAGCGACGCCGCGUGAGGGAUGACGGCCUUCGGGUUGUAAACCUCUUUCAGUAGGGAAGAAGCGAAAGUGACGGUACCUGCAGAAGAAGCACCGGCUAACUACGUG
rnacentral:rRNA from 1 species